UACGUAGGGGGCGAGCGUUGUCCGGAUUUAUUGGGCGUAAAGAGCUCGUAGGCGGCUUGGCAAGUCGGGUGUGAAACCUCCAGGCUCAACCUGGAGACGCCACUCGAUACUGCCAUGGCUAGAGUCCGGUAGGGGACCACGGAAUUCCUGGUGUAGCGGUGAAAUGCGCAGAUAUCAGGAAGAACACCGGUGGCGAAAGCGCUCUGCUAGGCCGCAACUGACACUGAGGGACGAAAGCUAGGGGAGCGAAUGGG
rnacentral:rRNA from 1 species